rnacentral:rRNA from 1 species
AUUGAACGCUGGCGGCAUGCCUUACACAUGCAAGUCGAACGGCAGCACGGGACUCGGGCAACUGAGCCCUGGUGGCGAGUGGCGAACGGGUGAGUAAUGCAUCGGAACGUGCCCAGUAGUGGGGAUAACUAGUCGAAGAUUAGCUAUACGCAUACGACCUAUGGGUGAAAGCGGGGNGUUUCGGGUCACCGAGAACCUCGCGCUAUCGGAGCGGCCGA